CCGCUUCCUCCCUCCAAAGCCCCCCUCCCCCUUUCUCCUCUUUCCCUCCCAAGCAAAUCCUCUGCUCUCCCCCCGCCUCCUCCUCCUUCCUCUGCCGCUUGCCGUGUUUGGUUCGGCACCGAAAUGGCAUUCCACGACGAGGCGCCGCUGCUGCUCAGGAUCAACACCGCCAGAGGCGGCCACAUGGGCGGAGGCGAGUGCGACGAGGCGGAGAACCAGCGGUGGCCGCCGUGGCUCAAGCCGCUGCUGGCGACCAGCUUCUUCGGGCAAUGCAAGAUGCACGCCGACGCCCACAAGUGCGAGUGCAACAUGUACUGCCUCGACUGCGUCAACGGCGCGCUCUGCUCCCAGUGCCUCGCCUACCACCACGGCCACCACGCCAUCCAGAUAAGGAGGUCCUCGUACCACGACGUGAUCCGCGUGUCGGAGAUCCAGAAGGUGCUGGACAUCACCGGCGUGCAGACCUACAUCAUCAACAGCGCGCGCGUGGUGUUCCUCAACGAGCGCCCGCAGCCCAGGCCCGGCAAGGGCGUCACCAACACCUGCGACGUCUGCGAGCGCAGCCUCCUCGACACCUUCCGCUUCUGCUCCCUCGGAUGCAAGAUCGUAGGCACCUCCGGCGAGUUCCGCGGCCGGAAGAGGCACGCCGGCGGCAAGAAGAUGAAGCUGAAGCUGAAGAAGGCGGCGGCGUCGGACUCGGACGACUCGUCCACCAUCACCAGCGGCGGGAGCGACAAGAGCAGCGUGGUGCAGAGCUUCUCCCCGUCGACCCCGCCGGCCACCGCCAACAGCUACCGCUCCGCCAAGCGGCGCAAGGGCAUCCCGCACCGCUCGCCCUUCGGCAGCCUCAUCGUGGAGUUCUAGAGCAUCGCAUCGCAUCGCCCGCCCACACCUCCCUCGCCGGGACACCUAUGACCGCGAGUGAGCCUGAGAGGGUGCUGUGCCGGUGCUAGAAAAAUCUCUGCGGAUUUGGAGGAGACGGUGGCGAGGCAGUGGGGCACUGUGGCACCGUCAGCUGCACCGGGCCGGCCGGCCUGCCGGCUAACUUGCUUGACCCGCCAUUCAUGAAAGCGGCCGGGCGAUGCCGACGUGGUCGCCAUCGUCGUCGCUGGACCGUUGCUCCCCGCCCAUACGGAAGAGCCAGGACCCCUCUGCCCAGCCCAACCCCCGCCCGCCAUUCAACGCGGGCGGCAGGCCUGCCGCUCCUCUGUGUGCCCCUGUCUGUGGCAGUAGCAAUAAAUACGAUGGAUGGAUCGAUCUAGGGUUGAGAUCGGUCGUACGAAAAUACAAAUGAUGCUGU
rnacentral:rRNA from 1 species